UCUAUAAUUUUAGAAUCACCUUUGUCAGUGAUUACACAUGCAAGUCUUUCUGGGUGAGUAUCUAAGAGCUUUGCACAUCUGGAUUGUACAAUUCUUGCACAUUGUUAUUUCUAAAAUUCUUCAACCUCUGUCAAGUUUGUUGUUGAUCAUUGCUAGACAGCCAUUUUCAAGUCUUGUAAAAGAUAUUCAAGCCAAUUUAAGUCCAACCUGCAACUUGCAAGGAACAUUUAAUGUUGUCUUUGUAAGCAACUAAAGUGUAAAUGUGGCCUUGUGUUUUGUUAUUGUCCUGCUGAAAGGUGACUUUGUCUCCCAGUGUCUGUUGGAAAGCAGACUGAACCAGGUUUUCCUCUAGAAUUUUGCCUGUGCUUAGCUCUAUUCCAUUUGUUUUUAUUCUAGAAAACUCCCUAGUCCUUGCCAAUGAUAAACAUACCCAUAACAUGAUGCAGCCACCACCAUGCUUGAAAAUAUGAAGAGUGGUACGCAGUGAUCAAAUCAAAUCAAAUUGUAUUAGUCACAUGCUUAACCAACAAUGAAGUUAAAAAGUGGCGGGCUAAGAGGCGCACUAAAACUAUGGUAAAGUGGAGUCCACGUCACGCGCCAGAGCCGCCACCGCGGACAGACGCCCACCCAGACCCUCCCCUAUAGGUUCAGGUUUUGCGGACGGAGUCCGCACCUUUGGGGAGGGCGGGUACUGUCACGUUCUGACCAUAGUUCUGUUAUUUUAUUCUUUGUUUUAGUAUGGUCAGGGCGUGAGUUGGGGUGGGCAGUCUGUCUUUCUAUGUUGGUUUUUGUGUUCAGCCUAGUAUGGUUCUCAAUCAGAAGCAGGUGUCGUUAGUUGUGUCUGAUUGAGAAUCAUACUUAGGUAGCCUGGGAUUCACUGUUGGUUUGUGGGUGUUUCCGUGUGAGUGUUUGUCGCCACACGGUACUGUUUCGGUUUUUGUUUUCAUCACAUCGUUUAUUGUUUUGUAUUUCAGUGUUCAGUUCGUUUUUAAUAAAUCGUCAUGAACACUUACCACGCUGCAUCUUGGUCCGAUCCUUACUCUUCUUCAGACGAAGAGGAAAUCUGCCGUUACAGAGUCAGCCAGAUCAGAGGCUGUAGAGAUGACCAGGGAUUGUCUCUUGAUAAGUGCGUGAAUUGGGCCAUUCCUGUCCUGCUAAGCAUUCUAAAUGUAACAAGUACUUUUGGGUGUCAGGGAAAACGUAUGGAGUAAAACGUUUUUCAAAAUAUUUAGGAAUGUAGUGAAAAGAAAAGUAAAUGUUGUCAAAAAUAUAAAUAGUAAAGUACAGAUACCCCAAAAAAUGACUUAAGUAAUACUUUAAAGUAUUUUUACUUAGUUUGAAGAUGUCAGCUGUCUCCAGCUGCAGCUGCAGCAGAAUCCACUGGAGGAGCUGCCAGAAGGAGUGGGACAGCUCACUAAACCUGGAUGACAUCGUAAGCUCAGAAUCGGGCUUAAAACACUAUUGAAAAAAAGAUGAAGGAGAAAACAUGUCAAGGUAACAAAGUGAUUAUCUCAGACGAACUCUUUUGAUUAUCCUCGCUGACUUGUUUUUCUAUUGUUGGUGAAAGGAUCUUUCCAACAACCAGCUUACUGCCAUCCCUGACUGUCUGGGCAACUUGAAUCAUCUGGUGAAACUGAACCAACCUCUCUAACAACAAGCUGAAGAACCUUCCCUCAGGAAUCAAUGUCAUGGAAAGUAAGACAACAUUAGCAGCAAGUUUUUGCUUUCUUUGUUGUUUAGUCUUUCUAUAUAUUGUCUGCCGGAUGGAAAUGUGUGCGUCCACUUCAAUAUUCUUGUCAUAAACAUGGCUGAAGCAUAACAUCCUGUAUGAAUGCCUCCACAGAUUGGACUGCACACAUAAUCAGUUUGAGAGCAUACCUCCAAUCUUGCCUCAAAUGGUGUCUCUAGACCAGCGCUGUCUGAGACAAAACAAACUGCUCUUUCUUCCCGAACUGCCCUCCUCAAGGCUCAAGAUAAGGAUACUGAUGGUCAGGUUUCCUCAAUGAAGAGCUUUUGAAUCUUAAUGAGAUCACCUGUAUGAAUUAUUUGUAAAUUAAUAAAUGGCCUAUGCAAUCUCUGACAGCUUUAUAUCACCUGUCUGGUAGGAGCUGCAUGUUGGUACCCACUUGGCACAGACGUCAAUUCAACGUCUAUUUCGCGUUAAUUCAAUGUUAUUUAAUUGAAAUGAUGUUGGAACAACAUUGACUCAACCAGUGUGUGCCCUGUGGGUUAUAACCAGAUUGAGGUGGAGGCAGAGCACGUGAAACAUCUGUACACUCUUAGUGAAUUGGAGCUGAGGGACAACAAGGUGAAAAGUGUCCCUGAGGAAAUCACACUAGUUCAAGGCCUGGAGUGCCUAGACCUAAUCAACAAUGACAUCAGCAGAUCUGAUCUGAUCUCCCCUGGUUUCUCCUCAGUGCAUACUAUACUCUUCCACCUGUGCACAACACAUGUAUACACAGCACAAAUACCAACAAGUCAAAACACCCCAAAAUGUCCUGUGUAGUGUUUAACUGCCUGGAGCUAUCAUUGAGUGUUGUUGAUUUUCUACUGUAUGUCUUCCUUGUAUGUGUGAGCCAGUCUGCCAGCUGCCCUUGGUCAGACUGAAUAUCCUGACACUGGAGGGCAACCCUCUGAGACACACCCACGCCGACCUGACUUGACAAGCAGGCGGUGUGUGUUCCUGAUGACCUGUUUAAUGCUGUGGACAGUGAGCCCAUUUCCAGUGUCAGCAAGAACCAGCUGGCUGCAGUGCUUCCUAGGUACUCUGCUUAUAUCAGUGACCUCACACCACAGUCCAGGCCUCUGGAGGAAAAACACAAACAGUGUGUUUCCCGUGUGUCAAGAAUGGUCCACCACCCAAAGGACAUCAAGCCAGCAUUGGAAGCAUUGGAGUCAGCAUGGGCCAGAAUCCCUGUGGAAUGCUUUCAACACCUUGUAGAGGCCAUGCAUCGACAAAGUGAGGCUGUUCUGAGGGCAAAAGGGGUUCCAACUCAAUAUUAGGAAUGUGUUCCUAAUGUUUUGUACACUCAGAUUGUUUACAGUACCUUUCAUUUUUUUUUGUCUUCUUCAGUCACUUUUGAACAACUAUAUGGAUUCAAAUCCACCCACAUUAAAAGCGCACAAGGCAGCAGUGUGUUUGGUGCUUUGA